rnacentral:rRNA from 1 species
UACGGAGGGUGCGAGCGUUAUUCGGAAUAACUGGGCGUAAAGGGCACGCAGGCGGGCUUUUAAGUGAGAGGUGAAAUCCCCGGGCUUAACCUGGGAAUAGCAUUUCAGACGGGGAGACUAGAGUACUUUAGGGAGGGGUAGAAUUUCACGUGUAGCGGUGAAAUGCGUAGAGAUGUGGAGGAAUACCGAAGGCGAAGGCAGCCCCUUGGGAAUGUACUGACGCUCAUGUGCGAAAGCGUGGGGAGCAAACAGG